CAGCCGUAAACAAUGUGCGUUAGGUGUGUCGGUAACCACGUGUUACUGAUGCGCCGAAGAGAAAUCGUGAAACGCACCACCUGGGAGGUACGGUCGCAAGGCUGAAACUUAAAGGAAUUGGCGGGGGAGCACCACAACAGGUGGAGCCUGCGGUUUAAUUGGAUUCAACGCCGGACAUCUCACCGGAUAAGACAGCUGAAUGAUUGUCAAUCUGAAGGUUUUACAUGACUAGCUGAGAGGUGGUGCAUGGCGUCAGUGACU
rnacentral:rRNA from 1 species